UCCAGACUCCUACGGGAGGCAGCAGUGGGGAAUAUUGCACAAUGGGCGCAAGCCUGAUGCAGCCAUGCCGCGUGUGUGAAGAAGGCCUUCGGGUUGUAAAGCACUUUCAGCGGGGAGGAAGGCGGUGAGGUUAAUAACCUCAUCGAUUGACGUUACCCGCAGAAGAAGCACCGGCUAACUCCGUGCCAGCAGCCGCGGUAAUACGGAGGGUGCAAGCGUUAAUCGGAAUUACUGGGCGUAAAGCGCACGCAGGCGGUCUGUCAAGU
rnacentral:rRNA from 1 species